rnacentral:tRNA from 1 species
GCCCAUCUGGUCGGAAUGGUAGACGCAGCGCACUCAAAAUGCGUGGGCCGAAAGGCCGUCCCGGUUCAAGUCCGGGGGUGGGCACCA